rnacentral:lncRNA from 10 species
CUUUUUCAUGAUGUCCUGACGUUCCCUCUCCCCAAGUUUAGUUUUUUGUUUUUGUGGGUUUUUUUGGCAUUAUUUGAUCUGACGAGUGCUUCCAGAGGUUCUACUACAUACACAACUUGCUUUUAACUGGUAAUGGAAAUAAACAGGAAGACAAUUAUCUAGUCACUGAUGGCAGCUAAAAAUUAUUUUGCUACCAGAGUGCCCUCAGAAGUAUACUCUUAUCUAAUGGAUCGAGUUAUUAUGAUAACUGUGGUAAUUUGUUGUUAUAAAUAGCAGUAACAUAGGAAGGUUUUGGUAACUUCUGACAAGAAAUUUGAUGUAGAGAGUUAAUUUCGAGCACAUUAAAAUGACUGUCCCACUCAUCUCUUCAGUGCUAUUUAAAAGCCAGCCCAAGAAGCAAAUACUUGAGAAAUCAAUAGUAGGGGCUUUAAUUUUGAAUAUGAUAGACAUUAAUUCAUUUUAAUGAGACCAGGUCAGAUUGCCUCAUCACUCUCAGAUGGACUAGAACAUUAUAUAGAUACCAAGUUCAGUUCACAUCUAAAUAUUUAAAGUCUACUAUUAAAAGAGGUUUCCUGGCCGGGUGCAGUGACUCAUGUCUGUAAUCCCAGCACUUUGGGAGGCCGAGGCGGGAGGAUCACCUGAGGUCAAGAGAUUGAUUGAGACCAUCCUGGCCAACAUGGUGAAACCCC